AUUGAACGCUGGCGGCAUGCUUUACACAUGCAAGUCGAACGGCAGCGGGGUAGUGCUUGCACUACUGCCGGCGAGUGGCGAACGGGUGAGUAAUAUAUCGGAACGUACCGAGUAAUGGGGGAUAACCAAUCGAAAGAUUGGCUAAUACCGCAUACGUCCUGAGGGAGAAAGCGGGGGAUCGCAAGACCUCGCGUUAUUCGAGCGGCCGAUAACUGAUUAGCUAGUUGGUGGGGUAAAGGCCUACCAAGGCGACGAUCAGUAGCGGGUCUGAGAGGACGAUCCGCCACACUGGGACUGAGACACGGCCCAGACUCCUACGGGAGGCAGCAGUGGGGAAUUUUGGACAAUGGGGGCAACCCUGAUCCAGCCAUGCCGCGUGUAUGAAGAAGGCCUUCGGGUUGUAAAGUACUUUUGUUAGGGAAGAGAAGGGAAGUGCUAAUACCACUUUUUGCUGACGGUACCUAAAGAAUAAGCACCGGCUAACUACGUG
rnacentral:rRNA from 1 species